UACGUAGGGGGCGAGCGUUGUCCGGAAUCAUUGGGCGUAAAGCGCGUGUAGGCGGCUUGGUAAGUCCGGUGUGAAACCUUGGGGCUCAACCCCAAGCCUGCACUGGAUACUGCCUCGCUUGAGUCCGGAAGAGGAGAGUGGAAUUCCUGGUGUAGCGGUGAAAUGCGCAGAUAUCAGGAGGAACACCCGUGGCGAAAGCGGCUCUCUGGGACGGUACUGACGCUGAGACGCGAAAGCGUGGGGAGCAAACAGG
rnacentral:rRNA from 1 species